GAUGAACGCUAGCGGGAGGCUUAACACAUGCAAGUCGAGGGGCAGCACGGGGUAGCAAUACUCUGGUGGCGACCGGCGCACGGGUGAGUAACACGUAUGCAACCUACCCUGUACAGGGGGAUAACCCGGAGAAAUUCGGACUAAUAUCCCAUAAUGAUAUUGAAAGGCAUCUUUUGAUAUUUAAAGCUCAGGCGGUACGGGAUGGGCAUGCGGAACAUUAGCUAGUUGGCAGGGUAACGGCCUACCAAGGCUGCGAUGUUUAGGGGACCUGAGAGGGUGAACCCCCACACUGGUACUGAGACACGGACCAGACUCCUACGGGAGGCAG
rnacentral:rRNA from 1 species